AUAAAUCACAAGUACGCAAAUACAAGCAAAAAUAAUGCUUCAACAUUCAUUUUAAUUUGCUGACAAGAUUCAAUUUUGUUGAACUUUGACAAGAAUGAUGUCCUAAAGAUCAAAGUCCAAAAGUCCUUAAAAACUCUUAAGCCAAAUAAGAAGUGGACUCGACUGAUCUGCUCUUGCAGUCACUGAAAGAGGAGAGGGAAAAACAAAAAAAGAAAGUCUCUCCCAAUGUGCAGUAUAAUCAUCCUCACCAAAAAUGAAAUUACUUUUCCCAAACAAAUAAAGCUUCAGCGGAUAGGGUUUUGCAAAGUUUAAUUAAGCUGCUCCAUCCGAUAUGGAAG
rnacentral:misc_RNA from 1 species